AACGCAUAUUGCGCUCUCUGGUAUUCCGGAGAGCAUGCUUGUUUGAGUAUCUGUAAACAUCUCAAAUCUCUCAGCGCUUGCGUUUGAGAGGAUUGGAUUUGAGCGAUCCCGACUCUUUCAUCAGAGAGAAUCGGGUCGCUUGAAAUGCAGGUGCAGCUGGACAUUCUUCUGAGCUAAAAGCAUAUCUAUUUAGUCCCGUCAAAAGGAUUAUUACUUUUGCUUCAGCUAAUAUAAAGGUCGAAUGAACUACCAACGCUGAUUGCAGGAAAACUUGUUCAUAACUGAACUUGUAAACUCGAUCUCAAAUCAAGUAAGACUACCCGCUGAACUUAA
rnacentral:misc_RNA from 1 species